UGAACGCUGGCGGCAGGCCUAACACAUUGCAAGUCGAACGGUAGCACAGAGGAGCUUGUCUCCUUGGGUGUACGAGUGGCGGACGGGUGAGGAAUUACAUCGGAAUCUACCCUGUCGUGGGGGAUAACGUAGGGAAACUUACGCUAAUACCGCAUACGAACUGAGGUUGAAAAGUCAGGGGACCGCUAAGGCCUUGCGCGAUUGGAUUGAGCCCGCGUCCGAUUAGCUAGUUGGUGGGGUUAACGGCCCACCAAGGCGACGAUCGGUAGCUGGUCUGAGAGGACGAUCAGCCACACUGGGACUGAGACACGGCCCAGACUCCUACGGGAGGCAGCAGUGGGGGAAUAUUGGACAAUGGGCGAAAGCCUGAUCCAGCAAUGCCGCGUGUGUGAAGAAGGCCUGCGGGUUGUAAAGCACUUUCGGUAGGAAAGAAAAGACUGUCGCUAAUACCGGCGGUUCUUGACGUUACCUACAGAAGAAGCACCGGCUAAUUCCGUGCCAGCAG
rnacentral:rRNA from 1 species